UACGUAGGGUGCGAGCGUUAAUCGGAAUUACUGGGCGUAAAGCGUGCGUAGGCGGUCCGCGAAGUCUGAUGUGAAAGCCCCGGGCUCAACCUGGGAACUGCAUUGGAAACUAACGGGCUCGAGUGUGGCAGAGGGGGGUGGGAAUUCCACGUGUAGCAGUGAAAUGCGUAGAGAUGUGGAGGAACACCGAUGGCGAAGGCAGCCCCCUGGGCUAACACUGACGCUGAGACGCGAAAGCGUGGGGAGCGAACAGG
rnacentral:rRNA from 1 species